AGCCAUGCGUUGAGCACAGAGCGAACUAUUCUUUCGCCUUUUACUAAAGAAUACCGUGUGCGCGGCGCUAUAAAGGGCAUACGCCUAUUUUUGGAAGGGCGCACCUCUGUGGGUGCC
rnacentral:snRNA from 1 species